rnacentral:rRNA from 1 species
UACGAAGGGGGCUAGCGUUGCUCGGAAUGACUGGGCGUAAAGGGCGCGUAGGCGGUUUGGACAGUCAGAUGUGAAAUUCCUGGGCUCAACCUGGGGGCUGCGUUUGAUACGUGCGGGCUUGAGUUCGGAAGAGGGUCGUGGAAUUCCCAGUGUAGAGGUGAAAUUCGUAGAUAUUGGGAAGAACACCGGUGGCGAAGGCGGCGACCUGGUCCGAUACUGACGCUGAGGCGCGAAAGCGUGGGGAGCAAACAGG